GGCUGGUCUAAGUGCAGUGGUGUCUACAAUUAAUUGAUCAAGCCAGUUACAUAUUUCUUUGUUCCUUCUCCUCUUCCACUGUUUCACUUGAUAAGCCUUAU
rnacentral:Y_RNA from 1 species